rnacentral:rRNA from 1 species
UCAAAACGAAGGAGUGAAUAGCGAAUUAACUUCUCAUAAAGAAAGAAGGAGCAAAGUGUGAGAGUACACGAGCGGCGGACGGCUGAGUAACGCGUAGGAACGUCCCCAAAGUGAGGGAUAAGCACCAGAAAUGGUGUCUAAUACCGCAUGUGGUCUUCGGAUUAAAGCUUCGGCGCUUUGGGAGCGGCCUGCGUAUGAUUAGUUUGUUGGUGAGGUAAUGGCUCACCAAGGCUUCGAUCAUCAGCUGGUCUGAGAGGAUGAUCAGCCAGACUGGGACUGAGAACGGCCCAGACUCCUACGGGAGGCAGCAGUAGGGAAUUUUCCACAAUGGGCGAAAGCCUGAUGGAGCAACGCCGCGUGCAGGAUGAAGGCCUUCGGGUUGUAAACUGCUUUUAUAUGUGACGAUUAUGACGGUAGCAUAUGAAUAAGGAUCGGCUAACUCCGUG